UCCAGGGUAGCCUAGUGGACAUGGCAUCUGCCCGGUAAGCUGAACACUGUGGGUUCGAUUCCCAUUCCUGGAC